GAUGCCGGGUGUGCGGGUAGGGGACGGGGUUGAAGGGGCCUGGUUAUGACUGAGCAACCACCUGUGCCCCCAGGCAUCGAGCAGUCCAUCGAGCAAGAGGAAGGCCUGAACCGCUCCUCCGCUGACCUGAGGAUCCGGAAGACACAGGUGCGGCCACGGAGUCUAGGGUGGGCGGGCACCUGAGUCUCUGGGUCGGUCCCCGCGGGGCCUCACCCCUGCACCUCCAUCUCGGGCCCCCAGCACUCCACGCUGUCCAGAAAGUUUGUGGAGGUCAUGUCGGAGUACAACGCCACGCAGUCCGACUACCGCGAGCGCUGCAAGGGCCGCAUCCAAAGGCAACUGGAGAUCACCGGCAGGACCACGACCAGUGAGGAGCUGGAGGACAUGCUGGAGAGUGGGAACCCCGCCAUCUUUGCCUCUGGGAUCAUCAUGGACUCCAGCAUCUCCAAGCAGGCUCUGAGCGAGAUUGAGACGCGACACAGUGAGAUCAUCAAGCUGGAGAACAGCAUCCGUGAGCUACACGACAUGUUCAUGGACAUGGCCAUGCUCGUGGAGAGCCAGCCUCAGGGUGCUUUCCUGAAGUCCUGCCCUGAGCCCCAACCCAACCCUGAGGAGGGGGCCCUCUGGAGCUCGGGUGCCCCCGGCCCCGCAGGGAGAGAUGAUUGACAGGAUCGAGUACAAUGUGGAACACGCGGUAGACUAUGUGGAGA
rnacentral:sRNA from 1 species